UACGUAGGGGGCUAGCGUUGUCCGGAAUCAUUGGGCGUAAAGCGCGUGUAGGCGGUUUGGUAAGUCCGCUGUGAAAGUCGGGGGCUCAACCCUCGAAUGCCGGUGGAUACUGUCGAACUAGAGUGCGGAAGAGGCGAGUGGAAUUCCUGGUGUAGCGGUGAAAUGCGCAGAUAUCAGGAGGAACACCAAUUGCGAAGGCAGCUCGCUGGGACGGUACUGACGCUGAGGCGCGAAAGCGUGGGGAGCAAACAGG
rnacentral:rRNA from 1 species